rnacentral:rRNA from 1 species
GGGAACCUGCCUUUAGGUUCGGAAUAACAGUGAGAAAUCGCUGCUAAUACCGGAUAAUGUCUUCGGACCAAAGAUUUAUCGCCUUUAGAUGGGCCCGCGUUGGAUUAGAUAGUUGGUGGGGUAACGGCCUACCAAGUCGACGAUCCAUAGCUGGUCUGAGAGGAUGAUCAGCCACACUGGGACUGAGACACGGCCCAGACUCCUACGGGAGGCAGCAGUGGGGAAUAUUGGACAAUGGGCGAAAGCCUGAUCCAGCAAUGCCGCGUGAGUGAUGAAGGCCUUAGGGUUGUAAAGCUCUUUUACCAGGGAUGAUAAUGACAGUACCUGGAGAAUAAGCUCCGGCUAACUCCGUGCCAGCAGCCGCGGUAAUACGGAGGGAGCUAGCGUUGUUCGGAAUUACUGGGCGUAAAGCGCGCGUAGGCGGCUUUUCAAGUCAGGGGUGAAAUCCCGGGGCUCAACCCCGGAACUGCCCUUGAAACUGGAUGGCUAGAAUACUGGAGA